AUUGAACGCUGGCGGCAGGCCUAACACAUGCAAGUCGAGCGAGAGGCGGACGGGUGAGUAAUGCCGGGGAAUUGCCCAGUAGCGGGGGAUAACAAUUGGAAACGACUGCUAAUACCGCAUACGAUUGGAUUGCCCAGGUGGGAAUAGCUAGUUGGUGAGGUAAUGGCUCACCAAGCGGACGAUCCCUAGCUUGUCUGAGCGGAUGAUCGGCCACACUUGACCUGAGACACGGUCCAGACUCCUACGGGAGGCAGCAGUGGUGAAUAUUGCACAAUGGGGGAAACCCUGAUGCAGCCAUGCCGCGUGUGUGAAGAAGGCCUUCGUGUUGUAAAGCACUUUCAGCGAGGAGGCGUUACUCGCAGAAGAAGCACCGGCUAACUCCGUGCCAGCCGCCGCGGUAAUAC
rnacentral:rRNA from 1 species